CAAAUGAACUGAAGGGAGAUAACAGGAUCAUGAAAAUGGUUUUCCUAGGGUGGGCUUAUCCCUUGCACUUAGGAUAUGCUGACCCCUUUGCUUUCCCCAAAGACAGAAACCUGAUGGGAUAACUUAUAGUAGUGGUGGACUGUGUUCGUGCUCUCCCAUG
ensembl:snRNA U1 U1 spliceosomal RNA